GUGAACUCGAAGAGUAGGGCGGGACACGUGGUAUCCUGUCUGAAUAUGGGGGGACCAUCCUCCAAGGCUAAAUACUCCUGACUGACCGAUAGUGAACCAGUACCGUGAGGGAAAGGCGAAAAGAACCCCGGCGAGGGGAGUGAAAAAGAACCUGAAACCGUGUACGUACAAGCAGUGGGAGCACCUUCGGGUGUGACUGCGUACCUUUUGUAUAAUGGGUCAGCGACUUAUAUUCUGUAGCAAGGUUAACCGUAUAGGGGAGCCGAAGGGAAACCGAGUCUUAACUGGGCGUUAAGUUGCAGGGUAUAGACCCGAAACCCGGUGAUCUAGCCAUGGGCAGGUUGAAGGUUGGGUAACACUAACUGGAGGACCGAACCGACUAAUGUUGAAAAAUUAGCGGAUGACCUGUGGCUGGGGGUGAAAGGCCAAUCAAACCGGGAGAUAGCUGGUUCUCCCCGAAAGCUAUUUAGGUAGCGCCUCGUGAACUCAUCUUCGGGGGUAGAGCACUGUUUCGGCUAGGGGGCCAUCCCGGCUUACCAACCCGAUGCAAACUACGAAUACCGAAGAAUGUUAUCACGGGAGACACACGGCGGGUGCUAACGUCCGUCGUGAAGAGGGAAACAACCCAGACCGCCAGCUAAGGUCCCAAAGUCAUGGUUAAGUGGGAAACGAUGUGGGAAGGCCCAGACAGCCAGGAUGUUGGCUUAGAAGCAGCCAUCAUUUAAAGAAAGCGUAAUAGCUCACUGGUCGAGUCGGCCUGCGCGGAAGAUGUAACGGGGCUAAACCAUGCACCGAAGCUGCGGCAGCGACACUAUGUGUUGUUGGGUAGGGGAGCGUUCUGUAAGCCGUUGAAGGUGGUCUGUGAGGGCUGCUGGAGGUAUCAGAAGUGCGAAUGCUGACAUAAGUAACGAUAAAGCGGGUGAAAAGCCCGCUCGCCGGAAGACCAAGGGUUCCUGUCCAACGUUAAUCGGGGCAGGGUGAGUCGACCCCUAAGGCGAGGCCGAAAGGCGUAGUCGAUGGGAAACAGGUUAAUAUUCCUGUACUUGGUGUUACUGCGAAGGGGGGACGGAGAAGGCUAUGUUAGCCGGGCGACGGUUGUCCCGGUUUAAGCAUGUAGGCGGAGGUUCCAGGUAAAUCCGGUACCUUUUAACGCUGAGGUGUGAUGACGAGGCACUACGGUGCUGAAGUAACAAAUGCCCUGCUUCCAGGAAAAGCCUCUAAGCAUCAGGUAACAUCAAAUCGUACCCCAAACCGACACAGGUGGUCAGGUAGAGAAUACCAAGGCGCUUGAGAGAACUCGGGUGAAGGAACUAGGCAAAAUGGUGCCGUAACUUCGGGAGAAGGCACGCUGAUAUGUAGGUGAAGCCCCUGCGGGUGGAGCUGAAAUCAGUCGAAGAUACCAGCUGGCUGCAACUGUUUAUUAAAAACACAGCACUGUGCAAACACGAAAGUGGACGUAUACGGUGUGACGCCUGCCCGGUGCCGGAAGGUUAAUUGAUGGGGUUAGCGGCAACGCGAAGCUCUUGAUCGAAGCCCCGGUAAACGGCGGCCGUAACUAUAACGGUCCUAAGGUAGCGAAAUUCCUUGUCGGGUAAGUUCCGACCUGCACGAAUGGCGUAAUGAUGGCCAGGCUGUCUCCACCCGAGACUCAGUGAAAUUGAACUCGCUGUGAAGAUGCAGUGUACCCGCGGCAAGACGGAAAGACCCCGUGAACCUUUACUAUAGCUUGACACUGAACACUGGUCCUUGAUGUGUAGGAUAGGUGGGAGGCUUUGAAGCGUGGACGCCAGUCUGCGUGGAGCC
rnacentral:rRNA from 1 species